UCAGCCAAAGGCCAAUCAGAAGGUAAAAGGGGAUUGCAAUUAGGAAAAACAGAGUUGUAUGCAGUAGAGACUACUGAGAUAUCAUCCCCUGGAGAGGUGAAAUCUGUUCCUGUCCAGCCUAUAGAUCCCUUGCCUCCAGGCACAGUAGGCUUGACCAUUUCACCUCCUGAGGGUGCUUACAAAACAGUGGCCAUGGACAUCGGAAUCCUCUAAGGAGUGUCUAACAACUCACCUGCCGAAUCAACUAGCCCUGAAAAUGGAUGGCACUGGAGCAUUGGGCCCAUACCUGGCCGUCGCUGGCAAUGGGCACAAAGCAGGAACAGAAACGUGUUGUUUCCUGAGAACAGAUUCCGCACAAGGGAGGAAGGCAUGAACUCACUCCUCGGGGGCUAGGCCACGAUGAGUAGGAGGGCUGCUGCGGUGGGCCUGGAAGCCUAGGGCAUGGGCCCAGGUGGAGCUGCCGCAGGUG
rfam:Sarcophilus harrisii ctg7180002245043, whole genome shotgun sequence.